rnacentral:lncRNA from 1 species
UGGCGCAGGCGGAGGGGCGGGGCCCGGGGGGGCGUGGCCCGCCCUGCAGGGCAGAGCCCGCGCCCCCCGUCCCGUCCCGGUUCGGUUCUCACCGCGCUGCCCCGGGCCGGACCGGGGCCCUCCGCGAGCCUUCCCGGUGCCGGGUGGUGCCUACCCACCCCUCGCUCCGCCCCCAAUCGUCUCCGAGAGCUCCCGGUAGCAGGGCAACCCCGGGCUGGACCGGGACUGCCGUGCGCCGGGACCUGGACACGCUCCCUCCUCCCUGCGCGGCCCCGGCGCCGUUCAGCGCCGCCGAUUCCCAGCCCAAGCCGGGGCCCGGCUCCUCCCGGCCCCGCGGCACCAUCUAGUGGCGCCGCCCGGCCCGGGUCAGCCCCGGGGCGCGGGUCAGCCCGGGCCGGCCCCGCCGGUUCUCGGAGCCCCGGGGCCACGCGUGCCCCGCAUAGGGAGCCGCUGCUGGGAGGCAACGCCGGGGCCACCGGCACUAAUGAGGCUGCUCGGCGGCGCCGAGCCCCGCCAGAGGGGCUCCCGACUGUGGCUGGUCCGAGGGAGCGGCGGGAGCCGCUCCAGGCUCCCCGCGGGGCUCGGGCGGGAGCAGCCGGUGCCGAGCAGCGAGCGGAGGGGCGGGCGGCGGCAUGGCUCCGGCUCCGGGCUGGCGGCUGCGGGCCGGGGGCUUCCACAGAAACUGGUCCCCCCCUCACCGCUUCGGCGCUGGGCUGGGAGCGGUACCGGCCCCGGAGGGAGGCGGAGAAGCGCGGCGUGGACCUGAUCGCUGUCAGCGCCGGAAAGCGGCCCCGCGGAACCAGGGAUGACGGAGGCCUGGUCCUCAGGCAGAGUCUGGGCCACAAAGGGUUACGCAAGGCACCCUGGAGUGACACCACUGCCACCAGCCCGGGAGCUCAGCUCCUUCCUGGUCGGAUCCCAGGCUCGGUGAGUGCCUAAUUCUGUCCCCUGAGAUCUGUCAGCCCUGCUUUCUGGCUUUCAGCUGUGCUUUCACCUGGGGAACUGGCCAUGCUUU